UACGGAGGGUGCGAGCGUUAAUCGGAAUCACUGGGCGUAAAGGGCGCGUAGGCGGCGCAACAAGUCACUUGUGAAAUCUCCGGGCUUAACCCGGAGCGGCCAAGUGAUACUGUCGUGCUAGAGUGCGGAAGGGGCUACUGGAAUUCUCGGUGUAGCGGUGAAAUGCGUAGAUAUCGAGAGGAACACCUGCGGCGAAGGCGGGUAGCUGGGCCGACACUGACGCUGAGGCGCGAAAGCCAGGGGAGCGAACGGG
rnacentral:rRNA from 1 species